UUAGACCAUUUACGCCAGCACAUCCAUUCCCAGCUUGAGUUUUGUGUGUUUUUUCAGCGCUGCUGCGCUGUCUAUUCCAUUUGCCUUCCAGCUAUCUUGUACUGGAAACCUUUCCAGCCUCCAAAAUGGCGCCGAUCGUUUUUGGACCGCCCACAGAGACCUUUUCCUUGGUCUCAUGUGUGCUGUCAUUACUUUUGGCUACAUUGGGAUCAGCUGAGCUUGUCAGCUGGGUGGAUUAUUUUCCUUCUGCUGACGCCCAGGUCAUGUGUCUGCACUGCGGCGCUUUGAUUGGUCAAUCAUCGCCGUGGUGGCAGAUUUAAAGCCCAAGCGCUGUGUUAGGCGCUCCAGCUGAGACCAGACCUAAUUAAUGCAAGGAAAGGCUGCUGUAUGCACAGCUAUCUAGGUGGCUCUGCCUUUUCAUCUUUGGACUUCGUCCCAAUCAGAGCGGAUGCCGCUUUUUGAUCAGGUUAUUUGAGGGGCUGUGAGAGUGUCUUCCUUCCCCUUUAUCCUCUUUCAAUCCAUAUCUAUGGCAAACAUUAGACUGUUUCUACUGACAACAGGCAUUUUUGCUUACUAUUGACAGAUUAAUUCUAUUAAUGGCUUAAAAUCCUGCUGUGGUUCUC